UAGCUUUUUAUUUUCUCACCUUAUUUUUCAUCAAGUCAGAAAUUAAUCUAUUAUAACUUUAAAGUUUGUUGCUGAUGGAUAAAUUGGGUUAUGUCUUGUGUGUAGGACGAUAAUAUUAUUGGAAUGAUCCAUUUAGAUCAGAGGACUUGUCCUCAAGUGCAAUAUAAAGCUUUUCUUUAAAUUUUUGUUACAAUCUUAAAUUCUGCAAUUGCUUGGCAUGAGAAUAGAAGGAAGUGGAUCGGUGAUAAGUCUCAAAAUCAACCAAGAAUAGCUAAGGAACCCGUUAUUAGAUAUAUUUUUUUCAAAGGUUGUGGGUGUUUGAUAAUUUUGUUGGCAACUUGGCAUCUUUUGAUAUUUUGUGGUUCUUGUUUUAGAGAGAUUUUUCGGUGAUAUCCUCUUGAUGUUUUGAGAAUAAUUAAAUGUUAUAUAGAUUAGCUAUUGUUAUUAGAUUUAUAAAGAAUCAAAUUCUAGUUGUAAUGAACCUAUACACUUUAAAAUGA